rnacentral:misc_RNA from 1 species
UCGCGGCUUAUCACCGGCAGUCCCCUUAGAGUGCCCAACUGAAUGAUGGCAACUAAGGACAGGGGUUGCGCUCGUUGCGGCACUUAAGCCAACACCUCACGGCACGAGCUGACGACAGCCAUGCAGCACCUGUGCUAGCCCCUUGCGGACACGGGCUUUCACCCGCUUUAACUAGCAUGUCAACCCAGGUAAGGUUCUUCGCGUUGCAUCGAAUUAAGCCACAUGCUCCGCCGCUUGUGCGGGUCCCCGUCAAUUCCUUUGAGUUUUAGCCUUGCGGCCGUACUCCCCAGGCGGAGUGCUUAAUGCGUUAGCUUCGGCACAGGGGGGGUCGAUACCCCCUACACCUAGUACCCAUCGUUUACAGCGUGGACUAC